rnacentral:rRNA from 1 species
GAUGAACGCUGGCGGCGUGCCUAAUACAUGCAAGUCGAGCGAACAGACGAGGAGCUUGCUCCUCUGCCGUUAGCGGCGGACGGGUGAGUAACACGUGGAUAACCUACCUAUAAGACUGGGAUAACUUCGUGAAACCGGAGCUAAUACCGGAUAAUAUAUUGAACCGCAUGGUUCAAUAGUGAAAGACGGUUUUGCUGUCACUUUUAGAUGGAUCCGCGCGGGAUUAUCUAGUUGGUAAGGUAAAGGCUUACCAAGGCAACGAUGCGUAGCCGACCUGAAGAGGGGAAUCGGCAAAACUGAAACUGAAACACGGCCCGAACCCUAAGGGAGGGCGGAGGUGGGGAUUUUGCCGAAAGGGGGGAAGGCCGGACGAAGCAACGCGGGGUGGGUAAUGAAGGCCUUCGGUUGGAAAAACUCUGUUAUGGGGAAAAAAAAAAUGUGUAAGUAACUAUGCACGUCUGAAGGGAACCAAAGAAGAAGGCCAGGCUAAACUCCGG